AGGAGGACUGCCUUUUGGAUUGUCAGCCACUUGGACGUGGUGAUGCAGGUCUACCUGGAGGGUCAGGCCUGGAUGGUUGGGAUUUAAGAUUUUGACAAAGAAAACUCAGUCAGAUUUAAAGCUUCACGAUUGCUCCAAAGGAAGAGAGCGUUAAGUUUUCAGAAGGAG